GAUGAACGCUGGCGGCGUGCCUAAUACAUGCAAGUCGAGCGAACAGAUGAGGAGCUUGCUCCUCUGACGUUAGCGGCGGACGGGUGAGUAACACGUGGAUAACCUACCUAUAAGACUGGGAUAACUUCGGGAAACCGGAGCUAAUACCGGAUAAUAUAUUGAACCGCAUGGUUCAAUAGUGAAAGACGGUUUUGCUGUCACUUAUAGAUGGAUCCGCGCCGCAUUAGCUAGUUGGUAAGGUAACGGCUUACCAAGGCGACGAUGCGUAGCCGACCUGAGAGGGUGAUCGGCCACACUGGAACUGAGACACGGUCCAGACUCCUACGGGAGGCAGCAGUAGGGAAUCUUCCGCAAUGGGCGAAAGCCCGACGGAGCAACGCCGCGUGAGUGAUGAAGGUCUUCGGAUCGUAAAACUCUGUUAUUAGGGAAGAACAAAUGUGUAAGUAACUAUGCACGUCUUGACGGUACCUAAUCAGAAAGCCACGGCUAACUACGUG
rnacentral:rRNA from 1 species